rnacentral:rRNA from 1 species
AGCGAACGCUGGCUGCAGUCCUAACACAUGCAAGUCGAACGAACUCUUCGGUUUUAUUGUCGUACGGGUGAGUAACACUUGGUAACGUGCCUUUUGUUUCGUCAUAACUCAGGGAAACUUUUGCUUAUACCGCAUGUGCCCUUCGGGGGAAAGAUUUAUCGCCAUUAGAGCGGCCCGCGUCUGAUUAGCUAGUUGGUGAGGUAACGGCUCACCAAGGCGACGAUCAGUAGCUGGUCUGAGAGGAUGACCAGCCACACUGGGACUGAGACACGGCCCAGACUCCUACGGGAGGCAGCAGUGGGGAAUCGUGCGCAAUGGGCGAAAGCCUGACGCAGCCAUGCCGCGUGAAUGAUGAAGGUCUUAGGAUUGUAAAAUUCUUUCAACGGGGACGAUAAUGACGGUACCCGGAGAAGAAGCCCCGGCUAACUUCGUG